rnacentral:lncRNA from 1 species
CUAAACCAGGAACAAAGGACUCAUCGGCAGGCAACUUCCCAAACUCGACUAAAGAACGAAGGGCGAGCAGGAACAAGAACGGAGUACUUGAACAGAGCCUCGCUGACGACCACGAAACCUGCCGGAAUCUUGACAACAGCAGGUUUUUGGUGAAGAAAGCAGCAGGUUUUUGAGGUUUUGGAGGUGCUUUAAUGGAAGAUUUCGUAGCUGUUGAUGGAUGGUUUGGUGCAGUUUUAGAGCUAAUUGGUGGAGGUUUACUGCUCGUUUUUUGGGGCUAUUUUUGCUGCUUUUGGACUGAUUUUCGCUGAGCUUUCAUGAAGGCUUCAAGGUGUUUAGUGGUGUUUGAGUUGGUGGAGAAGAUAGCUUCAGCUGCGGCUGAUUCUAGAUUUCUUCGGGUGUUUUUUGUGUCAGCUCCUU